ensembl:lncRNA
UUAUGUUGCGGCCUCGAGCCGGGUUGUAACAAAAUUGAGUACUGAUGAUGAUUUAAUGUUUCUGGAAGUGUUUUGAUUUUCAUUGCACCCUUCAAACUCUUCUAUGGUGUUUUCUUCAUUUCCCUCCUUUUGUCAUUCAUUUUAUAAACAGGUCUAUAAAUUAAAAUCAUACUGAGCACAGAGAAAAGAAGAAGUCAUUAAUCGAGUUCAGGCCGUAAGCUUCCCGUGACAGUGCAACAUGAGGAUUACAGCUGGCAGCUUACCAACUGUAGUGUGCACAGAUGGACCAGCAAGACCCAGAGAGAAAAAUACACCUUUCAAGCCGAGCUGAUGCCACUUGGCAGUUUGCAGCUGGGUCCAAGUCUGUUUGUGCUACGAAGCGUGCAGAAAAUGAAGCUCUGGCACUCUGACUCUGCAGGAUUUUAAAAUGCGAAGCUGGCGGGAAAUGGAUGGAAAGGAAGAUGCCGCUGGCUGUUUGUUUUUGUUUAAUAUGAUGAAAUCAGCCUCCAGAUGGGAUCCUAGAAUGAUUACCAUAUGGGCCCACAGUGAUUUAUGAGACUCGUUGGCGCUGAAUGCCUCGGUAGCUCAGAUUCCACCUGCCAUCAACACAGACUGAUCACUCUGUCAUAUGAAGGAGGCAGUGAUGUGUACAUUUAUUUGAGAUGUCAAAGAGUGCGUUAAAGUGAAAUAAACCUAUUUUAUCUACA